rnacentral:rRNA from 1 species
UCCUACGGGAGGCAGCAGUGGGGAAUCUUGCGCAAUGGGCGAAAGCCUGACGCAGCUAUGCCGCGUGAAUGAUGAAGGUCUUAGGAUUGUAAAAUUCUUUCACCGGGGACGAUAAUGACGGUACCCGGAGAAGAAGCCCCGGCUAACUUCGUGCCAGCAGCCGCGGU